CUACGUGCCAGCAGCCGCGGUAAUACGGAAGGUCCAGGCGUUAUCCGGAUUUAUUGGGUUUAAAGGGAGCGUAGGCUGGAGAUUAAGUGUGUUGUGAAAUGUAGACGCUCAACGUCUGAAUUGCAGCGCAUACUGGUUUCCUUGAGUACGCACAACGUUGGCGGAAUUCGUCGUGUAGCGGUGAAAUGCUUAGAUAUGACGAAGAACUCCGAUUGCGAAGGCAGCUGACGGGAGCGCAACUGACGCUUAAGCUCGAAGGUGCGGGUAUCAAACAGGAUUAGAUACCCUGGUAGUCCGCACAGUAAACGAUGGAUGCCCGCUGUUGGUACCUGGUAUCAGCGGCUAAGCGAAAGCAUUAAGCAUCCCACCUGGGGAGUACGCCGGCAACGGUGAAACUCAAAGGAAUUGACGGGGGCCCGCACAAGCGGUGGAGCAUGUGGUUUAAUUCGAUGCAACGCGAAGAACCUUACCUACUCUU
rnacentral:rRNA from 1 species